rnacentral:rRNA from 2 species
UUCUGACCGUAAACGAUGCCAACUAGCGAUCCGCCGGUGGCUUUUUGGCCCUGGUGGGGAGCUUCCCGGAAACGAAAGUCUUCCGGUUCCGGGGGAAGUAUGGUUGCAAAGCUGAAACUUAAAGGAAUUGACGGAAGGGCACCACCAGGAGUGGAGCCUGCGGCUUAAUUUGACUCAACACGGGAAAACUCACCCGGCCCGGACACCGUGAGGAUUGACAGAUUGAUAGCUUUUUCAUGAUUCGGUGGUUGGUGGUGCAUGGCCGUUCUUAGUUCGUGGAUCGAUUUGUCUGGUUUAUUCCGAUAACGAGCGAGACUCCAGCCUACUAACUAGUGCGGGCAUUGUUUCUGUGCUUGUCACUUCUUAGAGGGAUUGGCUGCGUCUAGCGGCACGAAACGGAGCAAUAACAGGUCUGUGAUGCCCUUAGAUGUCCGGGGCUGCACGCGCGCUACACUGGCAAAAGCAACGUGCUUGUCCGCCUCCGAAAGGAGCCGGUAAACCCUUGAAAAUUUGCCGUGAUUGGGAUCGGAAAUUGCAAUUAUUUUCCGUGAACGAGGAAUUCCUAGUAAGUGCGAGUCAUCAGCUCGCGUUG